rnacentral:rRNA from 1 species
CCUACGGGAGGCAGCAGUGAGGAAUAUUGGUCAAUGGGCUUACGCCUGAACCAGCCAAGUCGCGUGAGGGAAGACUGCCCUAUGGGUUGUAAACCUCUUUUGUCAGGGAGCAAUUGGCGCUACGUGUAGCGUUAUCGAGAGUACCUGAAGAAAAAGCAUCGGCUAACUCCGUGCCAGCAGCCGCGGUAAUACGGAGGAUGCGAGGGUUAUCCGGAUUUAUUGGGUUUAAAGGGUGCGUAGGCGGAAUGCCAAGUCAGCGGUAAAAUCGCGGGGCUCAACCUCGCUCCGCCGUUGAAACUGGCGUUCUUGAGUGGGCGAGAAGUAGGCGGAAUGCGUGGUGUAGCGGUGAAAUGCAUAGAUAUAUGGAAGAACACCAGUGGCGAAGGCGGCCGCCUGGCCUGUUGCUGACGCUGAGGCACGAAAGCGUGGGGAGCAAAUAGGAUUAGAUACCCUAGUAGUC